rnacentral:rRNA from 1 species
GACGUAGGGGGCCAGCGUUGUUCGGAAUUACUGGGCGUAAAGGGCUCGUAGGCGGCCAACUAAGUCAGACGUGAAAUCCCUCGGCUUAACCGGGGAACUGCGUCUGAUACUGGAUGGCUAGAGGUUGGGAGAGGGAUGCGGAAUUCCAGGUGUAGCGGUGAAAUGCGUAGAUAUCUGGAGGAACACCGGUGGCGAAGGCGGCAUCCUGGACCAAUUCUGACGCUGAGGAGCGAAAGCCAGGGGAGCAAACGGG